rnacentral:rRNA from 1 species
UACGGAGGGUGCUAGCGUUGUUCGGAAUUACUGGGCGUAAAGGGCGCGUAGGCGGCCGUUUGGGUCGGAUGUGAAAGCCCGGGGCUCAACCUCGGAACGGCAUUCGAUACGGGACGGCUGGAGACCGGGAGAGGAGAGUGGAAUAGCCAGUGUAGAGGUGAAAUUCGUAGAUAUUGGCUGGAACACCGGUGGCGAAAGCGGCUCUCUGGCCCGGUUCUGACGCUGAGGCGCGAAAGCGUGGGGAGCAAACAGG